GUCUCUCCAUUUCCUUUCCAUUUUCCUUUCCAUCCUCUAGUUUCAAGUUUAGUCAUCUCCACGAGUUCAAGCAAGGCCAAAGAAGAAGAAGAGAAGCCGUGAGCACUUCCAUCCAUAGCCAUCCUUGAAGCUUGCUUUCGAGUUUCAAGAAUCCACAACGUGAAUCAUCCAUCUCAUCUUCAUCCACGGUGUGUACCCUCAAUCCCCGGAAUAGAACGAUCCCUAUUUGCUUAUACUACUAACGAUCUUUUCAGGGUUAAAUUAUGCGCUUGCUUUGAGCGUAUCAAUUUUUGGCGCCGUUGCCGGGGAAUUGAAAAAUCACUUGUUUUUGUUUAUAAUUGUUGUAUAUAAACUGUUUGAUACUUAGUUUAAAUUAACUAGGUUGUUUUUUUUUAUUGUUGAAUACGAGUUUAAUUGUGAGUUGUAAAUUAAAGAAGGAAUAGGUGAAGUCGUGUUUAUUAAUAUUGGCCUAAACCCCUUAUUGGUACCUAGUUCAGGUCCCUUAUGGUUGAGGGCGGCCUUUAUUAACAUUCAUUGAACUGUCUAACACACUUAGGACCUUUUACAUCCUAGUAAGAAUAUCCUAUGUGAGAUGGUGUCUAGGAAGGGGACAACGUUCAUGACGGGUUUUUGAAUCCAGAAGUGCUUAUAAAUGGGCUUAGCUCAUGCCAAAAUGGAUUUUUCCUCUCGUGUUCACCCUCCCCUACCUGGCCAUUUCAGUAAGGUUGCCCAACGGAUGUAGGAGGGACUUUGUGUCUAGACGACUAUACUUGGGCCGCACGUCCACUUGAUUUACCGCUUGGAAUUA